rnacentral:rRNA from 1 species
CCUACGGGGGGCAGCAGUGAGGAAUAUUGGUCAAUGGGCUUACGCCUGAACCAGCCAAGUCGCGUGAGGGAAGACUGCCCUAUGGGUUGUAAACCUCUUUUAUCAGGGAGCAACGCCGGCUACGUGUAGCCGGACUGAGAGUACCUGAAGAAAAAGCAUCGGCUAACUCCGUGCCAGCAGCCGCGCUAAUACGGAGGAUGCGAGCGUUAUCCGGAUUUAUUGGGUUUAAGGGGUGCGUAGGCGGAAUGCCAAGUCAGCGGUAAAAUCGCGGGACUCAACCUCGCUCCGCCGUUGAAACUGGCGGUCUUGAGUGGGCGAGAAGUAUGUGGAAUGCGUGGUGUAGCGGUGAAAUGCAUAGAUAUCACGCAGAACUCCGAUUGCGAAGGCAGCAUACCGGCGCCCAACUGACGCUGAAGCACGAAAGCGUGGGUAUCGAACAGGAUUAGAUACCCGGGUAGUC